rnacentral:lncRNA from 1 species
UUUCAGUGGAAAGCAGUACAGAGAAAAUACACAUCACCUUUCAAAGGCUGACAGCAUCUGCUUUUUUACUGAGAGAAACCUGUUGCCAUACAAGAAACUCUACUACCAGAGCCAGCCUGCAGUGAAGAAGCCCAGACCAGCCCUGUGGAGAGGUCACAUAGGGAAGAACUGAGGAGCCAAAGACAGAGAGAAUGGAUCCCCACACAUAUAUUCACCACAGGACCAUUACAGCCAAUCCCCAGUCAUCCAUGCAAUCCCAGGAACUGGAGCUUAUGCUGGGCAGAGAAUGAAGAAAAGCUGAUCCCUGUCUAUGCAAGUGGCAGAAGCAAUUCACAAAGAGAGGUUUGGUGGGAGAGAGGAAGAAGCUGGCAGAGGAGAGGAAGAAGUUCUGUAUUCAAGCCAGAAGGAACCCACUGUCCAGCAUGAAAGAUACCAUCCAGUCUGAAAGAGGAGCCUACUUCAGAUGUGUCUAAAGGUCCCCCUGAUGGUGAGAAUCUUGGAUGUGAAAUAAAACAGGAAAUGGUUUGGCAGGUGCCUGGGCAUAACUCUUGGACAAGGCUCUGAGUAAU